ACAGUUGCUGAUGUGUCUCAUGAAGAGAAUUUAUCCCGACUGGGGAGAAGAGACCCAGAAUGUACAGCCUUCCAGAAGAGACGCGCGCUCACCCUCGCUGAGUGCAAAGGACAACAGUGGUGUGCUGUGAUUAUUGUUACGCGGGGAUUUCUGUAAAACUAGCGAAUGGCUGCAUCCACCUCCGAGGCCUGGUCGUGAUUGCUGCCAACCCACGGGAAGGUCGCCCAGGCCUGUGAGGAUGGACCACGAGCGCUUGAGCGCUGCUGAUAAAGAUCGUUGAUCCCCCUGAACGUGACUGAUGGUUCUCAGGGGCCUCUGGUCUUGCUCCUGCAUUCUUCUUCCUUAUCUGAUAGGAUCAAAGCACUCUUUGUACAGCUGCUCUUAUUCAGUUGGCAUUGUUUUGGAUCCUGCAAUGUGCAAAACCAUUUGUAGAAAUCUGUUUCUUGGGAGACCAUUGUUGGUUCAUUGAAACAAGAAACCUUGACAAAACGUGGUAGAGGAGGUGGGCCUGGUGAGCUGAUCAGCUCUUUUCCCUCCCAAGCUGCGGUUCCACGUGGUGAUCAAUGCAGUACAGCAGUGAGAAGCAGGGACCCAGCCUCACAGAGCCCGUGUCCAGAGCCCUCGCAGUCACUCACUGCAUAAGUUUAUGGAUGAUGACAUCACACGGUAUCUAUAAAACAAGGUAACAAGUAAAAAAUACUUAAUGUUGUUUCUGGUACUUUACAAGUUCUCAGUUCAUAUAAGCUAUCUUAACUUAAUGAAUAUAAGCUACAUAAGCUAUGGAAUGCAACAAGUUACUGGUCAUAUCCCAUUUUACUAGGAAAGAAACAUCCCAAAUCAUUGGCCUUCCUUUCCCAUCAAGGUGUUGCAAAUUAACAACUGCUAGGUUUAGAAAAUAUUUGAUUGACUGAGGAUCUCUUUAUUUAGAGGUGGUUGGUGUGCCUCUAAUUUUCUCUAGGAAGGAUAUUUUUAGCAUUACUUUGUUCCAGCAAAAAACAAAAACAAAACAAAACAAUAAUUUGGGGGAGUUCCUUGGCGGCCUCGUAAUUAGAAUUCAGCACUUACACCACUGCAGCCGUGGUUCAAUCCCUGGUCUAGGAACUGAGAUUCCAUAUGAAGCCACAACACACUGUGGCAAAAACAUAAAAUACAAAGGUAAUUUUUAAAACAUUUGUUGUCUCAAUUCUGCUUUCUUUUGGUUUUUGUUUUGCUUUCCGCUAGUAUUUCAGUGUUUCAUGUUCAUAUGUUUUUUUCAUUUAAAGUCAUUUCCCAGGCCUCCAUCUUCUGUGUGGGUUGCUCAGUCCAGGGCCCCAGCCCCCAGGAUUUUAAGCAGGGUCCCCUCGAGUCCUCACGGUGAAGAGAAAUGGAAAGAGGGCAGCGUAGAGCAAGAGAACGUGGGCUUGCUGGGCCAGGAGCCGUGGUCCCUUUCCUGGUGAUGGCCGAGGGAAGGGAAGAGGAGGGAUGUCCAUGGACAUGAGAGGGAAACACGUGAGCCUCCGUGCCUGUCCCCUUGUCCCAGCCCCACUGCCCCUGCGAGCCGCGUGCACUCACCUGGUGUCCACCUGGGACCCAAGACAAAACCCUACAUCUUCUGAGACAUUUUACAUGUAUUCAUUUGGCCUUUGUCCCUUCUUAAAGGACAGGUAAGUGCCUAUUAACCAAUUCUAGAAGAAAUUUAGGUCACAGACAUGGCUCGGAUCCCACGUUGCUGUGGCUGUGAUGUAGGCAGGCAGCUGUAGCUCCCAUUCGACCUCUAGCCUGGGAACGUCCAUAUGUUGCGGGUUUGGCCCUAAAAAGCAAAAAAAGAAGAAGAAGAAGAAGAAGAAGAAAUUUAGAAAAACAUGUGUGUGCAUCUUUCUCUCCCGCCCCCAACUUUUAGCCAUUCUUUGUCACCUCUGACGCUGACAUUUGUCCCCACUGGAAUGGAAGAGAGCUCUUCAUGCCUUCUCUGCCAGGUCCCUGUCCUGUCUCAUCUUUUCUGAGCCCUCCACUGACCUACUACUCAGUGUUUCCUCCUUUCUUCUUUGCCUUCUUAACCAGAGCUCCAUUAUCUUGAGGGCACAGUGAAUUUGGGGGGAGCCCACUGAGUCACGUGUGGACUUUGCAUGGUACAGUUCCCAAUAAAUUGACUCAGCAGACGGUGGUUUGUUGAGCCUUAAUUCAGUAUUUGGCACUUGUCAGCUUCAUGCCCUUCAAUGUGUAAAGAAUGAGAUAAGGUGUUCAUGUGGUGACCCAGUGGUAAUGAAACCUACUAGUAUCCAUGAGGAUGCAGGUUCGAUCCCUGGCCUCACUCAGUGGGUCAGGGAUCUAGCGUUGCCAUGAGCUGUGGUGUAGGUAGAGGAUGCGGCUUGGAUCCUGUGUUGCUGUGGCUGUGGUAUAGGCCAGCAGCUACAGCCCAAUUUGACCCCUAGCCUGGGAACCUCCAUGUGCCUUGGAUGUGGCCCUAAAAAGACAAGAAAAAAAAA
rnacentral:lncRNA from 1 species